rnacentral:rRNA from 1 species
CAUGCAAGUGGAGCGACGAACCGGGGCUUGCCCCGGGGCAGAGCCGCGAACGGGUGAGUAACACGUGGGUUACCUGCCCUGAUGACCGGGACAACCCGUCGAAAGACGGGCUAAUACCGGAUGUGCCCGCAAGGGGAAAGGAGGCGUAAGCUUCCGCAUCGGGAUGGGCCCGCGGAGCAUUAGCUUGUUGGUGAGGUAAAAGCUCACCAAGGCUUCGAUGCUUAGCUGGUCUGAGAGGACGAUCAGCCACACUGGGGCUGAGACACGGCCCAGACUCCUACGGGAGGCAGCAGUGGGGAAUCUUGCGCAAUGCGCGAAAGCGUGACGCAGCAACGCCGCGUGCGGGAAGACGGCCUUCGGGUUGUAAACCGCUUUCAGUUGGGACGAAGGUUCUGCGGUUAAUACCCGUAUGGACUGACGGUACCUUCAGAAGAAGCCCCGGCUAACUACGUGCCAGCAGCCGCGGUAAUACGUAGGGGGCAAGCGUUGUCCGGAAUUAUUGGGCGUAAAGCGCGCGCAGGCGGUUCCUUAAGUCUGAUGUGAAAGCCCACGGCUCAACCGUGGAGGGUCAUUGGAAACUGGGGAACUUGAGUGCAGAAGAGGAGAGCGGAAUUCCACGUGUAGCGGUGAAAUGCGUAGAGAUGUGGAGGAACACCAGUGG